rnacentral:rRNA from 1 species
CUGGGUAACCUGCCUGUAAGACUGGGAUAACUCCGGGAAACCGGAGCUAAUACCGGAUAGUUCCUUGAACCGCAUGGUUCAAGGAUGAAAGACUGUUUCGGCUGUCACUUACAAAUGGACCCGCGGCGCAUUACCUAGUUGGUGGGGUAAUGGCUCACCAAGGCGACGAUGCGUAACCGACCUGAGAGGGUGAUCGGCCACACUGGGACUGAGACACGGCCCUGACUCCUACGGGAGGCAGCAGUUGGAAUCUUCCGCAAUGGACGAAAGUCUGACGGAGCAACUCCGCGUGAGUGAUGAAGGUUUUCGGAUCGUAAAACUCUGUUGUUAUGGAAGAACACCUGCGACAGUAACUGCUCGCACCUUGACGGUACCUAUCCAAAUUGCCGCGGCUAACUACCUGCCAGCCGCCUCUGUAAUACAUAGGUGGCAACCGUUAUC